UUCAUCAGUGUGUUCUUCUGUUCAGCAGCCCAUCUCCCUCUUUCCCUGCGCCCAGCAUCCACGGCGCCCAAACACAGCCGUGGGCGUUUCCUCCCUCGCCCAGCCCCCUCUCACUCAUACAACCUAAAACCAAUCCGUGGUAGGGAUCGUAUUCCUAUCAAUCUAGUAUCGGCUAUGUCCAGCGAUCCGUCCACGCCGUUGUCCUCCUCGCCACGCUCGUCGUCGCUUUCUCAGGCGUCGACGUCGCUGCCAUUAGCCGUGGUACCGUCCACGGUGCCGUCCACCGGUUAUGUGCCGCCAGGCACCUCAUCUGUUCCCCUGACCCUUGAUUCCCUCGCUGAAGUAGUCCGGGAAAUCUCACGGAACAUGGCUGUCAUGCAGGGAAACAUGAUCACGAUGCAGGGGAACAUCUCCUCCAUCCAUACCUACAUCACCGGCGCCCAGAACCCACCGCAGCCACCGCUGCCUGCCUCCACGCCCAUGCCACUGCCGCCCAGCCCAUCUGCGCCGCCGCCCACCGCAUCUCUCCCAACAUCCGUUGUUGCCGCAUCCUCCACGGUCGAGGUUGCGCCUGGCAUACCGCUGCACUUGAUGCAGUGGCCCCGAUCACCGUCGCAAGUCCCGUCAUAUGUGAUGCAGCCGCCGAUCUACUCUACUCCGACGACCAUCACGUCGUCGGUGGUGCAGUCUGAAGCCCCCCACGCGCCGGCCUCUGAGGGGGUCUUCUACGGAGGCGUCGAGGGAGUCCUCUUCCAUGAACCAACGACCUAG
rnacentral:misc_RNA from 1 species